rnacentral:rRNA from 1 species
UGCAAGUCGAACGCAGUAGCAAUACUGAGUGGCAGACGGGUGAGUAACAUGUGGGAAUCUGCCUUGUGGUUCAGGACAACAUUGGGAAACCGAUGCUAAUACUGGAUAAGCCCUUACGGGGAAAGUUUUAAUGCCAUAAGAUGAGCCCGCAUUUGAUUAGUUAGUUGGUGAGGUAAUGGCUCACCAAGACAAUGAUCAAUAGCUGAUCUGAGAGGAUGAUCAGCCACACUGGGACUGAGACACGGCCCAGACUCCUACGGGAGGCAGCAGUGGGGAAUCUUGCACAAUGGAGGAAACUCUGAUGCAGCGAUGCCGCGUGAGUGAAGAAGGCCUUUGGGUUGUAAAGCUCUUUUGUAGGGGAAGAUAAUGACUGUACCCUAAGAAUAAGGUCCGGCUAACUUCGUGCCAGCAGCCGCGGUAAUACGAAGGGACCUAGCGUAGUUCGGAAUUACUGGGCGUAAAGCGCGCGUAGGCCGUUGAGUUAGUUAAUUGUGAAAUCCCAAAGCUUAACUUUGGAACUGCAAUUAAAACUGCUCGACUAGAGUUUGAUAGAGGAAAGCGGAAUACAUAGUGUAGAGGUGAAAUUCGUAGAUAUUAUGUAGAACACCAGUUGCGAAGGCGGCUUUCUGGAUCAACACUGACGCUGAGGCGCGAAAGUAUGGGUAGCAAAGAGGAUUAGAUACCCUCGUAGUCCAUACCAUAAACGAUGAUUGCUAGAUGUUGGAAAUUUAUUUUCAGUAUCGCAGCUAACGCAUUAAGCAAUCCGCCUGGGGAGUACGACCGCAAGGUUAAAACUCAAAUGAAUUGACGGGGACCCGCACAAGCGGUGGAGCAUGUGGUUUAAUUCGAAGAUACGCGCAGAACCUUACCAACCCUUGACAUGUCUGUCGCGAGUUUAGGAAACUAGACUUUUCGGUUCGGCCGG